rnacentral:rRNA from 1 species
UACGGAGGGAGCUAGCGUUGUUCGGAAUUACUGGGCGUAAAGCGUGCGCAGGCGGUUUUGUAAGUUUGUCGCGAAAGCCCCGGGCUCAACCUGGGAAUGGCAUUUGUGACUGGAAGGCUAGAGUGUGUCAGAGGGGGGUAGAAUUCCACGUGUAGCAGUGAAAUGCGUAGAGAUGUGGAGGAAUACCGAUGGCGAAGGCAGCCCCCUGGGAUAACACUGACGCUCAUGCACGAAAGCGUGGGGAGCAAACAGG